UACGAGGGGGCAAGCGUUGUUCGGAAUUAUUGGGCGUAAAGGGUGCGUAGGCGGUUUGGUAAGUCUGAUGUGAAAUCUAUGGGCUCAACUCAUAGUCUGCAUCGGAAACUGCCGGGCUUGAGUAUGGGAGAGGUGAGUGGAAUUCCUGGUGUAGCGAUGAAAUGCGUAGAUAUCGGAAGGAACACCGGUGGCGAAAGCGGCGCGCUGGAUCCCUACUGACGCUGAGGCACGAAAGCCAGGGAGCAA
rnacentral:rRNA from 1 species